ACCAUGCCCAGCUAAUUAAAAAUCUUUUUUUGUAAAGAUGGGGUCCUGCUAUGUUGCCCAGGCUGGUCUCAAACUUCUGGCCUCAAGCAAUCCUCCUGCCUCAGCCUCCCACAGUACUGGGAUGGUUGGGCCUUGGGCUGAGAAGGAGACAGGGAAGGGUGCUAUAGGAGCUGUGUGAUCCUAGGUGAGCUGUCUGACCUCUCAGAUUUGUUCUCAUCAACAGAAUGGGGAUAAUGGAAUCUGCCUCCUGGGACUGUCACGAGAAUUAGAUGAGGGAUUUUGGAAAGAACAUGGCCCACGGUUGAGUUCCGGAGAGGCUGCUUCCUCUCUGGGCGACCUUAUUCCACUUCUCUGAUCUUGAGUUUCCCAAUCUGCAGAACAGGGGGAAGGAAAACUGCCCCCGGGACUGCUGGCAUUAAAUGAGAUCGUGCCUAGAAAGCCCUCGCAGGAAGACCCCCUCCAGGGUCACACACCUCUCUCUUUCCCUCCCCUGUCCCUUUCCCUCUCCCCUCCUGGGACAGACUCCAGGGGAGGAAGCGCUGUCUCUAAGUGGGUGAGGACUCGCCCAGACUCGCCCGCCUGACUCCGCCUGGUUUCUACGUUGCCACCCUUUUGCCACCAAAUGGCCACCUUCAGGGUUGGCCCUUUCACUCCCACUGGAGAAUCCAACCGGAGCCACAGUCACUGACCAGGGACUUCUGAAGACAGGAGGAGCAUCGAAUGAGAAGAUCCAACCAACAACCCGGUCCCCACGGCAACACGUUGACACUGGUCCUCUCCACCUGAGGCCUCGUCUGGGGCUCCCUACAUCUUCAGAAGUGGUUCUACUUUUAUGCCCCAUUUGUCAAUGAGGAAAGAGUUGGGAAUCCAGAGAAAAACCCGGGUCCAUCUGACUCCAAAACCAGCACUCUGUCCGCUCACGCUUUUCCAUGUCAGAGGGCUGUGUGUGUUGAGGAGGGGUCUACCCACUCCUUCAUCCCCCAAGCCCUCAGGAAACAAAGAGAGUCCAGCACAUAACAAGUGCUCAAGUGGUUGUAGAUGAGCAAGGGAAUGAAUGAUGGACAAGCAAGUGAAUGAAUGAAUGCACUUGUGGAGUCCUGCUGUCCUUUCUUUCCCGGAAACUCCCUCUUUCCCCUCCAUGCUCUACCCCAAAUGGUGUUCACCUCACCCACCAUUGCCCCAUCCAUCCUCCCCUCUCUGCAGCCACCUUGGGCCAACAAUAGAUGGGACUCCUCCCAUCACCUACAGCCCACUUGCAACCUCAGGAUGCUUUGAUGGGGUUGCCUUGGCAACUGUAAGUUUCCAAUUGAAGCAAAAAGUUCCUACCAGGGUUUUCGAUGAAGAAUGACGGGAGAACCAGCAGAGAAGGUUGCCCAGGCAACGGGAACAUUUAAGUCAAACUUUGCGGGUCUCAGUGUGGGGAGAUUAUCCUCAGCAAGGCGAAGAGAUCGGCCCCCUUGCCAGGCGGCUCUGCCAACGCAAGCUGCGCGUUCAUGGAGAUGGGGGAGGCCCCCAGCCUAACCUCAGCCGGCCGGUUGUUUCUGACAAUUAUUGAUCUGCCAUCUCCAGAGUUCUCUGACUCAUGACAAGCCCCAGACGGGCCUCGAGCCUGGCAGUGUCUCCAGGUCGACCAGGUGACUCGAGAGGGGGCUUUGUGCCCUCAUUUAUCUCUGUGCCGGACCCAGGGGUUGGGUUUCUCUCAGUUACUGCCUCACUUUGCCCCUGUCUUUGUUAACUCGUCUGUCCUUUGUCCCCCUGCAGAAGCAGACAUGGGCCCUCAGCAUAUGAUGUCAGCGGCUCUGGCGCCCAGCUUUGUUAGCAGCGGUUCCUGAGUGGGUAAAAAGGAUGAGCCCCUCUCUCUAGGGAGAAGGAAGGGAGCAUGAGAGGCGGGGAAGCCCUGAGGCCUGCGGGUGGUAAGGAAAGCAGCUGGGAUCUGACAGACAAGGCUGAUUCCAGGGAAUCCAGGCCCUGUGGCUUCUGCAGGGGACUGAGACCCCCUGGGGCAAGAUCCCCUUUCAGGUGCCUGAUCCUGCAGGGUGAUGGGGUGGGAGGGUCUUAGACGCACCUGGGCCCCCACCUGCCCUGUGCUAUCUCAGCCCCUGGCUUCUGCCCUUUUUUCUUCCCUCUCCUGCUCCCCUCAUCCAUGUGUAAAAACCAGGCACCCAGAAAACGAGUAGGGUGAAACUUGGUGCCUGCCUUUACCUGCAGGGGGCUUGGGCAUCACUUGACCUAGGCCUCCAAGACUCUGCCCUCCUCCCUGGUCCUCCAACAGCCUUCAGCUUCGUCCAGCACCCAGCCCUUUGCACCUGUGGAACCCCCUGCCUGGAUCACUCCACCCCUCCCCACCCCCACGCAGGCCUCGACCACACCACUUUUCUCCACCCUCUUUAUGGCAGAUGUCACACCCUGGAACCGUGUGGUGUUUCUGUUGUCUGCCUACAGUAGGACGUAGGCUCCACGCCACGAUACUUAGGAAGGGGUGUCUGGAGACUUCGGGGGACAAGUCUCCACCUGGCUGCCACCAGCCCGCUCUCCUCUUCCCUCCUCAGCUCUCCCUCCUGUCAGGACAAGCAAAAGCAUCAGAGACAAAACAAACACAUGCCACUGAAGAAAAGAGCAUCCUCCGAGCACCUCCCUUCUCCCCUCCCCUCUCUCUUCUUUGGGCUGCAGCAGGCGGGGGCAGUAGGAGCUUUCCAGGGGCUCUGAUGGGAUGGACAAGACUGGACACCAAGGUCUUCAUCGGCAAGAGGUUCCUGUGACACAGACAUGACACCCCACAGCCUGCAGAAGGUGGACACAGUCAGGAGGGCCCCCCUGGCUUUGAGAGCAGACGGCAGAGUCCCGUGAGGAAAUCUUGGCUUAGCCUCUUCCCCACUGUGUGAUUUUGGACACCUUCCUUGACCUCUCUGAGCCUCUGACCUUCUGCCGGACAGUGCUGACUUGCAGAGUUGUUGUAAGGUUUGGAGAUCAUGGAUGCAAAAUGUCUCCAACUAGCCUAGCACGUGCUGAACAUCUGGCUUCUCGGCCUCUGCACUGUGGACAUUUGGGCCUGGAUAAGUCUCCGUUGUAAGGGGCUUCCCUGUGCUUGCAAAAUGUGGAGUAGCACCCCUGGUCUCCACCCACUAGAUGCCAGUAGCAUCCUUCAGUUGUGACCACCAAACAUGUCUCCAGACAUUGACAGAUGUCCCCAGAGACAAAAUUGGCCCUGGUCGAGAACUACUGGAAUAAUCAUAGUUUAUAAUAAUAGUUUAUAAUAAUAAUAGAUUAUUUAUAAUAAUCUCCUCUUCCCUCCUCAGCUCUCCCUCCUGUCAGGACAAGCAAAAGCAUCAGAGACAGAGACAGACAGAGAUAGAGACAAAAGAUAAAAGAUAGAGACAAAAGACACAAAAA
rnacentral:lncRNA from 10 species